GUGGCAGUAGUCCGAGGAAGGACACGCAGUUUGGUUGAGAGGUUUGAAAAAAGAGAAGGGUUGAACAUGGAUGAUAUCCUUAAGAUAGAUGUGGUGUCUCAGUCUAAAACUGAGGAAGUAGAAAUAUCCCCUUUGGCACCUUCCUGUUGUAAAGAUGAGGAACCAGAAACCUUUAUUAAAAAAAGAAAUGAGGAACCAGAAACAACCCCUUCGACAGCUUCUCGUUUUAAAGCAGAGGAAGCAACACGCCCUUUGCCUCCAUCUCAUUCUGGAAUCGAGGAAGCAAAUGCAUGUACUUUGCCAGCUUCUCAAUAUGAAGUUGAGGAAUUAGAAGCAUCCAAUAAGCCAGAUUCUAAGUUUAAAUCUGAGGAAGUUAAAACAACCCAUUUACCAGCUUCUCAUGUUGAGAAGUUAGAAGCAUCUCCUAUGCCAGCUUCUCAGUUUGAAUCUGAGGAAGUAAGAGCAUCUCAUUUACCAGUUUCUUAUUCCAAAGCUGAGCAAUUUGAAGCAUCCCCUAAACCAGCUUCACAGGUUAAAUC
rnacentral:lncRNA from 1 species